rnacentral:lncRNA from 1 species
GAAAGAAGAUAAAAAAAAAAAAAGCAGCAGCCAUAUCUGUAGCAGAAAAGAGUCUCCUAGAAAAUUCUAGAAGAUCAACAAUGUUUCAUUGGCUAGAAUUCUGGCCAAGUGGACAUCUUGCAAGAAGGAAUUCUGCUGAGAAAUAGGUAAUCUGAAGCCUUCAGAAGAAAUCAAACAAUCAGAUUCUUAGAUUCUAAGCCCUUUUGAGUCCUGAGUGAACCAAGACUGUCAUCUUCCCAGGGUACCUCCUGACCAAGAAAAACAAAUACUUCAAAGACCAGAUGGUAAGUGUCUAGUGCUCACAUCUAAUCCAAACUCUGGAACCGCAUCCUCACAUUUCAUUCCACCUUGAACCUUGGCUGAGCUCCAGCAAGACUUGGGUUUUAAUGAAUCAUUCUUGAUUAGUCACAGCGCAAUACUCAAAUAGUCUCUUCUGGCUUAGAAAUCGUAGCUUGCAGAUCCUC